AUUGAACGCUGGCGGCAGGCCUAACACAUGCAAGUCGAACGAGUGGCGGACGUGUGACUAAUGUCUGGGAAAGUGACUGAUGGAGGGGGAUAAGUAAUGGAAACUGUAACCAAUACCGCAUACCAGCGGAUGUGUCCAGUUGGGAUUAGCUAGGAGGUGGGGUAAAGGCUGACCUAGGCGACGAUCCCUAGCUGGUCUGAGAGGAUGACCAGUCACACUGGAACUGAGACACGGUCCAGACUCCUACGGGAGGCAGCAGUGGGGAAUAUUGCACAAUGGGCGCAAGCCUGAUGCAGCCAUGCCGCGUGUAUGAAGAAGGCCUUCGGGUUGUAAAGUACUUUCAGCGGGGAGGCGUUACCCGCAGAAGAAGCACCGGCUAACUCCGUGCCAGCAGCCGCGGUAAUUC
rnacentral:rRNA from 1 species